UACGGAGGGUGCGAGCGUUGUUCGGAAUUAUUGGGCGUAAAGCGCGUGUAGGCGGUUUGCUCAGUCUGAUGUGAAAGCCCUGGGCUCAACCUGGGAAGUGCAUUGGAUACUGGCAGACUUGAGUACGGGAGAGGGUAGUGGAAUUCCCAGUGUAGGAGUGAAAUCCGUAGAUAUUGGGAGGAACACCGGUGGCGAAGGCGGCUGCCUGGACCGAUACUGACGCUGAGACGCGAAAGCGUGGGGAG
rnacentral:rRNA from 1 species